CGGGCGGGAAAAGAUGAGGUUUCAAAUUUGAAUUGGAGGCGGAACCAGCUCAGGGGGAGGUUUUGCGCGGGGAUUGUAUUAGAAAGACUAUGUAUCUCGACUCUCGUCUCGAGCAAAGGUGCGCCUAGGUAAUUUUGCAGCCUGGCUCUGGACCUAAAGGCCCUUGGAGGCACCGCUCCCCUGCAAAUUAAGCAUCAUUAUGCUCUCCGGGCAACCACACAGCUCAGGACAGACUAAAAAGGAUUUAGGGGCCCCCAAAGGAUGUGGAGACCCUGGACUUCGGCCUCAAAGGCCAGGGGUAAGAGCACCUCUGCUCUCGAGCAUUCUUUGAAAAAUCGAAGUCGACUGGCGACUUCUCGACACCUCGCCCGCCCCCGAAAGCCAGCCACUUAAGGUGUAUGCCCGCGAUCACACUUCCACGCUCCGUAUCAGCUUAGAGCAGUUAUUGCCGGCACCACCAACAACAACGCGUAGCAGAAUCCCCACUUCACACCUACGCUUGGAAUCUUCAAUAUGUGCCAUGUUGCAGUUCAGCGGUGGCGCGGUACUGCUAAAAGCGCUCCUACCCACCCAGAAAGAACUUGACUAUGGAGCGUCAAUACACAUCUGGGAAUUCUCACACGACUGUAGUAGAGGGAGAAAUCCUACAGAACAUGAAGGUGUAGUAGACGGAUCACUCUGGCAUACUUUGCCUUCAGAGUAGUCCGUCUAAUACUACAGUUCCCGUAGACAAAUACAAUUUCAGGCUUCAAAAUAUGCUGCUCAUUAGAAUACACCGCCCAUUCUCACCAAGGAUCCUUGCAUCGAAAUACAACUCCUUCCCAUUCACCACCUUUGCUAAAACCCAGGCAAGGUUCUACACUGGGUGAUGGCUGUAUUCAUUGACCCUACAAUAGGUUCUCCUGCAGUGGCUUUUGAAGCAGUAAGGUGGCACGGGAACUGGUGGUUGGCAGCUUCAAAUGACAUGCCCAUCAGGAAUCUCCGACUGCUGGAUGACCAGCUUCUUGGUGGUGGUGAUUGUGUGAAGCUGCCCAUCUACAUACCAUUUCUACUGGAGUUCAAAAGAAGGAAGAAAAAAUUGCACAGCCUGCCUACAAACCUCAGGAGAUACAGAGUUGGCACCAUGGAGGAAGCUGUCUUAUACCAAGUUAGACCAUCGGGUGCAGCCAGUUCAGUACGGUCUACUUCGCCAGGCAGGAUUUCUUCACAGGGAUUGAACUUGGACCUUCUGCGUGCUAAGCAGAUGUUCUACCACUAAAUUACAGUCCCAAUAUGCUGCUCAGAAUAUCAUCCUUACUCUUUCCACCCAGAGCUUCCUGCUCUCUCUGUCAUUAACGACCUGCAGCUGUAAACUCUCCCAUUUUGUCCCACUUGGACAUGCAACGUUUCAAUACUCCAAGUGUCCUUUCAGGCACAGUCCUUGCUAGCAAGUCACAGAACCACGGAGCUAAAAGGAGUUCUCUGACUGCCACCCCAAGAAGAUCCCAGGUUCAAUCCCUGCCAUCACACAUCCGCAGUCCAAUCAUUUUACUGCUUUUGAUUUUCCCAAAAUAUCUUUGCAAGUCCCUUCCCAGCUCCAGUUUCCUACCUUCCCACAACUCCGACAGUGGUGUCGUCGACGAAGAAAAGUGAAAGACACGUGGCAAGCCAUGCAGUGGCUGCAGGUGCUGUCUGGCACCCAGUCUGGUGGGACCAAAGCAUCUGAAAAGAGACAGAAUGAUAGCUAUGAAUUGUUGCAUACCUUCUAAAACCAGGCAGGUUUAUAAGUGUGUUGAGAACCCAAAUUGAGGUAAAGUAUGCAAAGCUGAUCUGACCACCAUGUUUAUAUGUUGCUUUUCUCUUAAAAUAGCCAAAGUGGCUUACCAUGUAAACCACUCAUAAGAUGAUAAAGGACACACAAUAAAGCAAUUUAAGCAACAAAAA